GACGAACGCUGGCGGCGUGCCUAACACAUGCAAGUCGAACGGAAAGGCCCCUUUGGGGGUACUCGAGUGGCGAACGGGUGAGUAACACGUGCGUAACCUGAACUUGACUUCGGGAUAACUUCAGGUAACUGGGGCUAAUCCCGGAAAGGAAUCCUUGCUGCAUGGUGGGGGUUCGAAAGCUCAUGCGGUUUUGGAUGUACUCGCGGCUUAUCAGCUUGUUGUUGGGGUCGUGUGGUACCAAGGCUUCGUCGCGGAGCCGGCCUGAGAGGGCGACCGGCCACAUUGAGACUGAGAUACGGCCCAGGCGCAGACUCGAGGGAGCAGUGGGGAAGAGUGCACAAGGAGCGGAGGGCGGAUGCAGCAGCGCCGCGGGCGGGAUAACGGCGUUGGGGUUGUAGACCGCUUGCAGAAGGGGCGAAGCUUGUGGUGACGGUACCUGAAGAAGAAGCACCGGCUAACUACGUG
rnacentral:rRNA from 1 species